GCGGUCUAUGUACAUGUGUCGUAAAAAUUUUCCUGAAACACUAUCUUAGCCAACCAAUAGAAGUGGUGGGAGUCUUUCUUUUUACCUCCUUUUCUCCCCCUAUCUGGUUUUCUUUCUUUCACCUAAAAUAGUGAGAGUUAUGAGUACUCCCCUUUCUUUUGUAUAUAUCUCCGUUUACUUCUUGGCAUUAUUAGAAGAAAAGGUAGGCAUGCACCGCAAAGUACACGCCUCUCACAAUCUCUCUUUUUUCUCCUCAUUUAAUGAUAUAGGAUCUCUAUAUGCCAAACAACACACAUUGAAACUCCUCUCCCGCUCCCUGCUAUUGGCUAAGGGUAUAUGAUGCUAAUAUAAUGAAAUUUUCUAUAAAAACACAAACAAACAAAUUUUCAUUUGAUGGCUUAUCCUGCCACUUGCCAGAUUUAAUUGUGGAUAAACAUUACUAUUUGCAGUUUCUUCCUUCAAUGCUUUCUCAAUGUUUUUGUCUAUUCAGUGUGUUGGGUUAGGAACCUAAGCAGGGUGAGAGCCCUUUGGAUGCAAUGUUUGAGAGGGGAGGUUUUGAUUAAACUUGCUCUAUUUGGACAUGAUGCAACACAAAAGAAAGGAAUUAGAGUUUUCAUGCAUUCUCAGAGGAUAGAAAUACUCUCUUCCUCCCUCCUAACAGGCAACAUAUUUUUCUGUGAUACAGAAUCUCUCAACACAACAAAUAGAUCAGGCUAUGAAUCUCUUCUAUGAGUCUAUAGAGAGACUGAUCUUAGCCAGGAGAAAGGGUGCAUUCGAAAUUCUGGAAUUUUUCUAGAAGUGCUAAACUUUCUGUUUGUCCUCUGAGAAAGGAGGGGUUUGAAACAGCAUGGCAAUGGCCUAAAGUACAUAUUUGGAAACAUUUCAUUUCCUAUGUUGAAUUUACCCACAAGAUACUUGGAUCAAUUGUGAGGACUUUGAAGCAAAGCCUUAAGAGGAGUCACAUCAAUGCAAAGUGGGUUCAAAGCAUUAGGAAAUACAGCUCCCUGGCAGAACUACUCAAGGACUUGGCAUCCAGGAAUCAAUGGAGAACUUUUUUGGUUUGUGUCACCAUUUGGAAUUGACUGAAGAAGGGCUGGAGCAACUACUGUAAACUUGAGAGGUAAACUCUGAAUAAGACCAGUGUGGGUAUGGAAUUAUUGGAUUUUCUAGUGUUGAGGUUGAGUUUCUACACUGGCUUCUAGGACAAUGCAACAGAGGUAGGAUGGCCUGUUGGACUUGUUCUGUUAUGCCUUAACCCAAAAUUAAACUGAACGAGAGCUUCACUGCCUAUUUGAGACAGAGACGUGGGAGUUACGAAAUCUCCAUUGGUAUGGUC